UCUGAGUUUUGUCUGUGACAAGUCAAGUGAUGAUCAUCAGGUCCAAAAGCCGCGAAAGGGGUGGUUGUCCUUGACGAUACGUUUUUCGUAACACGUGUUAACUUUUUUCUUCCAGGAACCUUAUUUCAAUUGCAAAGGAAUUUGCUAGACAAUCCACACUACGUACUGUAAUGAGUUUGGAAUUGCAGAUGUGUCUAUUGCAGCCCAGCUCUGACGUCAAAGUAUUAUUGUUAUUGAUACACUCAUCACUGUAUAUGCAGGUGCUGAUUCUGCUCCAUGUUUUUACGCAGCCAC
rnacentral:lncRNA from 1 species